GUGUCAGCAGCCGCGGUAAUACGGAGGAUGCAAGCGUUAUCCGGAAUGAUUGGGCGUAAAGGGUCCGCAGGUGGCGAUGUAAGUCUGCUGUUAAAGAGUCAUGCUCAACAUGAUAAGAGCAGUGGAAACUACAGAGCUAGAGUGCGUUCGGGGCAGAGGGAAUUCCUGGUGUAGCGGUGAAAUGCGUAGAUAUCAGGAAGAACACCGGUGGCGAAAGCGCUCUGCUAGGCCGCAACUGACACUGAGGGACGAAAGCUAGGGGAGCGAAUGGGAUUAGAUACCCUUGUAGUCC
rnacentral:rRNA from 1 species